UACAGAGGGUGCGAGCGUUGUCCGGAAUCACUGGGCGUAAAGGGCGCGUAGGCGGCCUGAUAAGUAGGGGGUGAAAUCUUGCGGCUCAACCGCAAGGCUGCCUUCUAAACUGUCAGGCUGGAGCACGGUAGAGGCAGAUGGAAUUCCCGGUGUAGCGGUGGAAUGCGUAGAGAUCGGGAAGAACACCAGUGGCGAAGGCGGUCUGCUGGGCCGUUGCUGACGCUGAGGCGCGACAGCGUGGGGAGCGAACAGG
rnacentral:rRNA from 1 species